rnacentral:rRNA from 1 species
GACGUAGGGCGCGAGCGUUGUCCGGAUUUAUUGGGCGUAAAGAGCUCGUAGGCGGUUCGGUAAGUCAGGUGUGAAAUCUCCACGCUCAACGUGGAGGUGCCACCUGAAACUGCCGUGACUCGAGUCCGGUAGGGGAGUGUGGAAUUCCCGGUGUAGCGGUGAAAUGCGCAGAUAUCAGGAAGAACACCCGUGGCGAAGGCGGCUCUCUGGGACGGUACUGACGCUGAGACGCGAAAGCGUGGGGAGCGAACAGG